AGUCGACGGACCCUUCGGGGUUAGUGGCGGACGGGUGAGUAACACGUGGGAACGUGCCUCUAGGUUCGGAAUAGCUCCUGGAAACGGGCGGUAAUGCCGAAUGUGCCCUUCGGGGGAAAGAUUUAUCGCCUUUAGAGCGGCCCGCGUCUGAUUAGCUAGUUGGUGGGGUAAUGGCCCACCAAGGCUACGAUCAGUAGCUGGUCUGAGAGGAUGACCAGCCACAUUGGGACUGAGACACGGCCCAAACUCCUACGGGAGGCAGCAGUGGGGAAUCUUGCGCAAUGGGCGAAAGCCUGACGCAGCCAUGCCGCGUGUAUGAUGAAGGUCUUAGGAUUGUAAAAUACUUUCACCGGUGAAGAUAAUGACUGUAGCCGGAGAAGAAGCCCCGGCUAACUUCGUGCCAGCAGCCGCGGUAAUACGAAGGGGGCUAGCGUUGCUCGGAAUUACUGGGCGUAAAGGGAGCGUAGGCGGACAUUUAAGUCAGAGGUGAAAUCCCGGAGCUUAACUUCGGAACUGCCUUUGAUACUGGGUGUCUUGAGUGUGAGAGAGGUAUGUGGAACUCCGAGUGUAGAGGUGAAAUUCGUAGAUAUUCGGAAGAACACCAGUGGCGAAGGCGACAUACUGGCUCAUUACUGACGCUGAGGCUCGAAAGCGUGGGGAGCAAACAGGAUUAGAUACCCUGGU
rnacentral:rRNA from 1 species